rnacentral:rRNA from 1 species
UACGGAGGGUGCAAGCGUUAUCCGGAUUCACUGGGUUUAAAGGGUGCGUAGGUGGGCAGGUAAGUCAGUGGUGAAAUCUCCGGGCUUAACCCGGAAACUGCCAUUGAUACUAUCUGUCUUGAAUACCGUGGAGGUGAGCGGAAUAUGUCAUGUAGCGGUGAAAUGCUUAGAUAUGACAUAGAACACCAAUGGCGAAGGCAGCUCGCUGGAACGGUACUGACGCUGAUGCGCGAAAGCCAGGGGAGCGAACGGG